rnacentral:rRNA from 1 species
AGAGUUUGAUCAUGGCUCAGGACGAACGCUGGCGGCGCGCCUAACACAUGCAAGUCGAACGGAGCUGAGAGGAGCUUGCUUCUCUCAGCUUAGUGGCGAACGGGUGAGUAACGCGUGAGUAACCUGCCCUGAAGUGGGGGACAACAGUUGGAAACGACUGCUAAUACCGCAUAAGCCCACGAUCCGGCAUCGGAUUGAGGGAAAAGGAUUUAUUCGCUUCAGGAUGGACUCGCGUCCAAUUAGCUAGUUGGUGAGGUAACGGCCCACCAAGGCGACGAUUGGUAGCCGGACUGAGAGGUUGAACGGCCACAUUGGGACUGAGACACGGCCCAGACUCCUACGGGAGGCAGCA